rnacentral:rRNA from 1 species
UACGAAGGGGGCUAGCGUUGCUCGGAAUCACUGGGCGUAAAGCGCACGUAGGCGGAUCUUUUAAGUCAGGGGUGAAAUCCCAAGGCUCAACCUUGGAACUGCCUUUGAUACUGGGGAUCUCGAGUCCGGGAGAGGUGAGUGGAACUGCGAGUGUAGAGGUGAAAUUCGUAGAUAUUCGCAAGAACACCAGUGGCGAAGGCGACUCACUGGCCCGAUACUGACGCUGAGGCGCGAAAGCCAGGGGAGCGAACGGG